rnacentral:misc_RNA from 1 species
UUGAUUCAUUUUUCUUGUGAGACUCAGAAUAUGCCACUAUGGUUAAACAAGAGUUUGGGUCCUCCGGCGGGCGCCUGGGUCCGGGCCUCCCCCCCCGGGGGGGUUCGGGCGCCGGGGCGGUCCGCCGAAGCAACGUGAGGUAAGUUCACAGGGGUUUGGGAGUUGAUAACUCGGUAAUGAUCCCUCCGCUGGUUCACCAACGGAGA